rnacentral:misc_RNA from 1 species
CUUCAUUACUUCAACUUGGUUCUGUUAGGCAUACUUCCCAAUUGUAUGUUAGUAUAUAAAGUUACUGAAUUUUAGAUUAUCAACUUUAUAUCAACUGUUUUUAACUAAAACUAAACCUGUUUCCAAUUGUGAAACAUUUAUGUAUAAAAGAACUUGGGAAUUUUGUUUGCCGCUAACCAUGUCUUUCAUUCUUUUUUUGUUGUGAAUUCGUGACAUGUAUGUUCUUGGAUUUUUGUAGCCAAAUUUCAAUUCACAAUUGGAUAUGUAGCUGUGAUUUGUUUCCCCAUUAGCAACUGCCAUAUGCAUUGGCAGUCUGACAUGUCUAUAGAUGUAGAUAAUGUUGCAUUGGAUUUGGCUGUAGAUAGCGUUGCACUUCUAUUAUAUUCAAUUUUAACUAGAUUAGAUAAAAUGCUAUACAUUUUAUUGCAGUGCUUACUUAAUGUUAAGUAGCAUUAAAUAUGUUUAUGUAUUGCAAUUUUAGCAAUAGAAAGGGAAGUGAUCAAACUAGGGUUAGCUUAGAUAUAAUAGAGGUUUCCUAGAGCACACACAUUAGAUACCUAGGAUCUAUUAUGAGGAAAUGGUGAGGUGAGAAGGAUGUCAGCCAUAGUAUUAAAGGAAGAUGGUUGAGUAGAAAAGUGUGAUAAAAGUUCCUUGUGAUAAAAAAAAAAACUCUAGAAAAGUUGAAGAGAAUACUUUAUAGAACAAAAUUUGAGCAACUAUGACAUAUGGCAAUGAAUGUUUAGCGAUGAAGAAAUGACUCUUUUAGAAAUGAGAAUGCUAAGAUGGAUAAGUCAAAAUACAAGGAUGUAGAUAUGAGGAAUGGAUGUCAUAGAGAUGGUUUGAAGUUUGAACAUGUGGAUUGUGAACUAAAAAAUGCACCAGCGCAGAAGGUUGGGCAUAUUGAAAUUGUAAGAAAGCGAGUGGUGAUCUAGUAUGAUGUGGGGAAAGUUAGAAUAAAUGAUUUUGUGGCUAUAGAUAUUUUGAAAGAUAUAUAGCCCUGAAGUAAGUGGAAUAGAGAAAUGGAUUCAUAUAGUAGACCCUAACUGGUUUGGGAUUAAGCUGUAGUUGAGUUGAACACGAAAGCUUACUCUAAUUGAAAUUGGGAGUUGCUUAAUACAAUAAAAGGUUAAAUGUACAUGUUAGAUUUUUAUGGAAAAGGAAAUGUAAAUGUAGAGAAGUUUUGGCCGCUUAUUUUUACAAUGUAACUGCUAAGUAGCUGCAGCAGGAAAUUUAGAUCAUGGUGAAAUACCAGGUGUAUUUGGGAACAUGUUUUAUCUUAAAUUUGUAUGAUUAAGAAAUGUUAAGUAAUGGGAUGAAUUAGUUUUUCCUAACAUUGUGCUAUUCUUUGUUCUAGCUUCUGAUUUGUUUCUUUUGUAAUUAACUUUGUCUCUGAGAACCUAAUGUAUGAAAUAAGAGUUAUUCAACAUUUUUAAGCUUAUGGUAUAUGGAUUCAUGGCUAAUGAAAUCAGGACAAUUUACUAAGCAAUUGGUUGUAACCAAUUGGUGGGUAUGAAAAAGAGUUAAGCCAGUGAUUUUCUGGCUAUUUGAUUCACAGAUGUCCUGUUCUAAUAGGGAACUUACUGAUUUCUUUGUCAUCAUAGUCAAUUCUGUCCUAAUUGGGCCUAUUUAGCUUUUAGUACUUUUGCCAAUUUCAGGUUUGUUCUUUAGCAUUGUAGUUAAUUUCUGAAUAGAUAUAUGAUCCUUACAAAUAUUUUAGCCUUUUUUUAUAUAAAUAAACAUUUUGUCGUCUAGUCCCAACUAGAUCUAGAUUGGGGCCUAGUUGAGUUGCUAGAUCUUAGAUGCAUACUGAAUUGGCAAUUGCAGUUAAAUAUGACAUGCUCAUUAGAUUUGCUACACGGAACUCAUGUUAGUUACACCCUACUCAUCCUCUGGUUCUCUUUUUUGUUGAUAUUUUAGCUUCUUAAGUACAACUAUUCCUUAAAGGGAUCCUAUGGAGAAAUGGGGAGCCUAUUAUUAUUAUUAUUAUUAUUA